AUGGGGAACGCAGAGCACAGCCCAGCGCGGGUCAGAAGGGCAGCGGGAGCCUUGCCGUGCCCGAGAGCCGGCAGCUCCGGGAAGAACCAGCUCUCCUCACCCUUAAUCACAGCACCGAUUCGCAAACCAAAAGUAAAAGAGGAAAUGGCUGAGCGAGGGCAGGAAGCCCCUGAGCCCUCCUCCUGCAGCCGAUCUCUCAGACGGAUGGAUGCUCGCUCACUCUUCAUUUUUUAUCUGCAAACCCUUCGGCAGCAACAACAGCCACGCAGGAACCGCACGGUUCGCCGACAGUUGCUAAGAAACUGCUUUGCUGUGUGGCCAGGAAUUCAGGUCAGAGGAAGAGCUUGAACAUGACUGCUGCUUCCUUCUGAGAAUGAGCCCUGGCCCAGCUCGUCCAGCUCCUUGAUUCAGUUUGGACAAAUCAAAAGUGUAGUCACUGCCUCCUGACAGUAAGAAGAUGCGUUCAUAGCGACACAAGUUUUUCUAUUAGCCAAAGCAAAGUGUGUGCUCAGUCUGACUCAUCUCUCCAACCUCCUCAAUCUUAUGUCCUCCCAGCAGCUGUUGUUAUCUUUGGAAGAAGACCGGUGCUCAUUGCAGAGCAUGAGAAUGCCCUGGACAUAAGGAGGAAACAUGACUUCAGAGCAGCUCUUCUUCUGAGGACAGUGAUGCAGGACGUGGAAGAGGCAGUGGAUGAGCUGGGGGAAGAACCAGCCACCACAGAGGGCUGCCCCAGCUCCUGCAUGGCUGGGGAGAGGCGUGAAUACCCCUGGGAGUCUGCUCAGCUUCCAUGUAAGGUACUGAGCUGGGGGACCAGCAGCCUCAGACGAUUUAUCCAGCCAUUCCUUGCACUCACAGUGUCACAGCUCCAGAAACACUAGUGCAGUGCAGCUAUAGAAUGCCUCUGUGCAAUCUCCAAAAACAGGAGCUUAGAAACCAUUCUCCUCAAAAACUCCUGCUGGGCUCACACCGAACAUCUUACAGCACUCCAUGGAUGUUUUCUAAUUAGAUAAGCAGCUGCUGACAGUACUUUCUUGUAAGAUUGCCUCAGAAGUGUGAUCUGUUCCAGGGGCUUUGAUGGAUGCAGUCAGCCCACGUUUGAUGAAGUCCACCUCUGCACGGGAUGAGGGGGCAUGCAUUCACCUCCUAGAUGAGAUGGCUGGAAAUGAAAGAAUGAACUGUCCACUUAUGCGUUAAUAGCCAACAGCUUCCAGGAAGUAAGGGAGUAAGACUGUGACAGUUUGGCAAGACUGUGAUAGAUACAUCGCCAUUGCUAAUGCAUAAGGGUGCUUCUAAGAAAAGAUAUAGAGAUGUCAAUUGUCAUCAACUCAGUCAAAUAUAUUUGUUUAACUAGAAUAAUAUCAAAUCCUCAUAUGAAAUGUAAUGAAUUCUGCAUGAACUAAAUGAAAAUCAAGCAUGUUUUCGGAUCCCUGCUUGAACCUGAGCAUUUCACAGUCUAUAAAAAUGACUGUAUUGAUAUUUGAUGUGGCAGCAGCCACAAAUUCCAACACAUUUUUUGACAGCAAGCACUGCUGUGAUGCUUCAGGACAGAUGAGCUUGUAGUCAAUUGCAUCUCUUAAUUUGCUUAGCUCAUUUUAUAGACUAAAAAAUGAAUUCAGGAGUCACAUCAUCUGUUGAGGAAGGCACCACGUGAUGCUGGAUAUACUGGAUCAGCUAUUUCACGCUAUAUUAUGGAAAAUAUUAUGAGAAAAUCAGCUCUUUAAUGGCCAAGAGACCGAGUGCCUAAGGACUCCUGUCUACUGCUGCCUACAGUCACAGAACUUGUUCUGGUCCAGGAUGAAGGAGCUUGCGUGAACAAGCUGACAGCUCCCGUCUCAUACAAGCUGGGCUCAAGCUGAAGGCACUGCUGAUGUUUUUCAUUGACUUUACACACUAAGCCAGCUGCAGCCUACACAAACAGACAGAAUGGGUGAAGUGCUACCCUAGGAAUGCAUUUGGGUUUUGGUUUGAUUUUACUGUUAGCAAACUGGAGGCAGAAAAAUUCCUUUGCUUAGCACUUCAGCUCUACUGACCUAAAGGAGAGAUCCCCAUGGUGUCCUAUAGAAUUCAGUCCGUGCAGCAGAGAACAGCAAAACAGGAUGUAAUGGUUUGUCUGUCUGCUCUUUCUUCCAGCCAGCUUUUAUUUGGCAUCUCCUGAGUCUGGGCAGUUAGUUACUGACAUGAAGUGGCUGCUAGAGCCAUUCAAGGACCAUUAGUACUACUGAAACUCAAAACAAAUUACAUUAGAUUUGAACAAUGAAGGCACUGAACAGAGAUGUUUGCAGAAUUAUGUCAGGCUCCAUGUUAUAGCUCAGGGCUCAAAACUAGUUUGGCUUUCAGUUUAACUGAAAUACUGCAGGAGGUUUGAUGUUUGCAUUGUUAUGCUGUCCUGAGCAGCCAGCUCUGAAAGAUAUUUGAAAAAAAUAUCUCUUUUCUUUCCCUUCCCUUCCCUUCCCUUCCCUUCCCUUCCCUUCCC
rnacentral:lncRNA from 1 species